GCCCGCGUAGCUCAGCUGGUAGAGCAAGCGCUUCGUAAGCGCUAGGUCGGUGGUUCGACCCCACUCGCGGGCUCCG
rnacentral:tRNA from 1 species